rnacentral:rRNA from 1 species
UCUGGCGGCAGUAGCGCGGUGGUCCCACCUGACCCCAUACCGAACUCAGAAGUGAAACGCCGUAGCGCCGAUGGUAGUGUGGGGUCUCCCCAUGCGAGAGUAGGGAACUGCCAGAC